UACAGAGGUCUCAAGCGUUGUUCGGAUUCAUUGGGCGUAAAGGGUGUGUAGGUGGCGCGGUAAGUCGGGUGUGAAAUCUCGGGGCUUAACUCCGAAACUGCAUUCGAUACUGCCGUGCUUGAGGACUGGAGAGGAGACUGGAAUUUACGGUGUAGCGGUGAAAUGCGUAGAUAUCGUAAGGAAGACCAGUGGCGAAGGCGGGUCUCUGGACAGUUCCUGACGCUGAGGCACGAAGGUCAGGGGAGCAAACGGG
rnacentral:rRNA from 1 species